CAUGCUUCAUAUAUGGACUUCAAUUGAUGAAAUCUACACGACGUCAGCUAGAAAGAGAGCUGCUUCUAGAAGACAUCCAGCGUGUGGAAGAAAUGACUUCAUAUGGGCUACUCGUGCGAUAGCCAUAUUUUUCGAGCAUUGUUUGCUUAAUGCCUUACUGAACUUAGAAGGGCAGUUGUAUUUGUAACAAUUUUUAAGUAAUGUAGCUGAG
rnacentral:misc_RNA from 1 species